GAUGAACGCUGGCGGCGUGCCUAAUACAUGCAAGUCGAGCGAAUGGAUUAAGAGCUUGCUCUUAUGAAGUUAGCGGCGGACGGGUGAGUAACACGUGGGUGACCUGCCCAUAAGACUGGGAUAACUCCGGGAAACCGGGGCUAAUACCGGAUAACAUUUUGAACCGCGUGGUUCGAAAUUGAAAGGCGGCUUCGGCUGUCACUUAUGGAUGGACCCGCGUCGCAUUAGCUAGUUGGUGAGGUAACGGCUCACCAAGGCAACGAUGCGUAGCCGACCUGAGAGGGUGAUCGGCCCCACUGGGACUGAGACACGGCCCAGACUCCUACGGGAGGCAGUAGUAGGGAAUCUGCCGCAAUGGACGAAAGUCUGACGGAGCAACGCCGCGUGAGUGAUGAAGGCUUUCGGGUCGUAAAACUCUGUUGUUGGGGAAGAACAAGUGCUAGUUGAAUAAGCUGGCACCUUGACGGUACCUAACCAGAAAGCCACGGCUAACUACGUGCCAGCAGCCGCGGUAA
rnacentral:rRNA from 1 species